rnacentral:rRNA from 1 species
CCUACGGGAGGCAGCAGUGGGGAAUAUUGCACAAUGGGCGCAAGCCUGAUGCAGCCAUGCCGCGUGUGUGAAGAAGGCCUUCGGGUUGUAAAGCACUUUCAGCGGGGAGGAAGGCGUUAAGGUUAAUAACCUUGUCGAUUGACGUUACCCGCAGAAGAAGCACCGGCUAACUCCGUGCCAGCAGCCGCGGUAAUACGGAGGGUGCAAGCGUUAAUCGGAAUUACUGGGCGUAAAGCGCACGCAGGCGGUCUGCCAAGUCGGAUGUGAAAUCCCCGGGCUCAACCUGGGAACUGCAUUCGAAACUGGCAGGCUAGAGUCUUGUAGAGGGGGGUAGAAUUCCAGGUGUAGCGGUGAAAUGCGUAGAGAUCUGGAGGAAUACCGGUGGCGAAGGCGGCCCCCUGGACAAAGACUGACGCUCAGGUGCGAAAGCGUGGGGAGCAAACAGGAUUAGAUACCCCAGUAGUC